GCAGACACACUCUGUUCUUUGCUGCUUACUCCAGCCUGGGACUUUUUCUGUCUGCUAAAUAAACACGCAGGAUGUAACACUGCUAGCUUUCCAUAAAGCCAGCGGUGGUCACUUUUUCUGCUACAUUUUA
ensembl:snoRNA small nucleolar RNA, H/ACA box 77B